rnacentral:rRNA from 1 species
UACGAAGGGUGCAAGCGUUAAUCGGAAUUACUGGGCGUAAAGGGUGCGUAGGCGGUCCGUUAAGUCUGUCGUGAAAUCCCCGGGCUCAACCUGGGAAUGGCGAUGGAUACUGGGCAGCUAGAGUGUGUCAGAGGAUGGUGGAAUUCCCGGUGUAGCGGUGAAAUGCGUAGAGAUCGGGAGGAACAUCAGUGGCGAAGGCGGCCAUCUGGGACAACACUGACGCUGAAGCACGAAAGCGUGGGGAGCAAACAGG